rnacentral:rRNA from 1 species
CGCGUAGGCGGCCUGAUAAGUUCGAUGUGAAAGCCCUGGGCUUAACCUAGGAAUAGCAUUGAAUACUGUUAGGCUUGAGUGUUGAAGGGGAUGAUGGAAUUAUGCAUGGAGAGGUGGAAUUCAUAGAUAUGCAUAGGAACACCGGUGGCGAAGGCGAUCAUCUGGACAACAACUGACGCUGAGGCGCGAAAGCGUGGGGAGCAAACAGGAUUAGAUACCCUGGUAGUCCACGCUGUAAACGAUGAAUGCUAGACGUUGGGAUGAAGAAUCUCAGUGUCGAAGUUAACACGAUAAGCAUUCCGCCUGGGGAGUACGGUCGCAAGAUUAAA